ACGGGUGCGUAACACGUAUGUAACCUACCUUGUUCAGGGGGAUAGCCUCUCGAAAGAGAGAUUAAGACCGCAUAACGUUAUUGAAUGGCAUCGUUUAAUAACCAAAUAUUUAUAGGAACAAGAUGGGCAUGCGGAACAUUAGCUAGUUGGUAAGGUAACGGCUUACCAAGGCUACGAUGUUUAGGGGAUCUGAGAGGAUGACCCCCCACACUGGUACUGAGACACGGACCAGACUCCUACGGGAGGCAGCAGUAAGGAAUAUUGGUCAAUGGGCGCAAGCCUGAACCAGCCAUGCCGCGUGCAGGAAGACGGCCCUAUGGGUUGUAAACUGCUUUUAUACGGGAAUAAACCUUGAUACGUGUAUCAAGCUGAAUGUACUGUAAGAAUAAGGAUCGGCUAACUCCGUGCCAGCAGCCGCGGUAAUACGGAGGAUCCAAGCGUUAUCCGGAUUUAUUGGGUUUAAAGGGUGCGUAGGUGGUUCUUUAAGUCAGGGGUGAAAGACGGCAGCUUAACUGUCGCAGUGCCUUUGAUACUGAAGAACUUGAAUCCACUAGAGGUAGGCGGAAUGUGACAAGUAGCGGUGAAAUG
rnacentral:rRNA from 3 species